UUGAGCGUAAGUAAAUAUGGGACGUAUGGGUGUCGUUAAAACAAUUGGUGGUCACUAACUUGAAAAUACCUGCACAUACCUUUCUACAUCUACAUCCAUACUGUGCAAACAAACGUGAAGUGCAUGGCAGACAAUACGUCAUUUAUUAUAUAUAUAUAUUGUAUGACAAUGAGUGUGAGCGGAAGAAGCAAUAAAACCACGAACAGUUGAUUUUGCUUGUGUUUAUAUGGUUGCAUGCACGCCUACGGCAUUCUCACAUUUGUGAUACUAUAUGAGAAGAACUUUUGUUUCGGAUGGUUAAUGCAGAUAGCUUGCAGUUCAGCAAAACUGCUUACCAUUGCAAACCCGUCUUUUGUUUAGAGACUAUUAUUAAAAGUGAGACAGUACAAGGGUGAGGAUCUCUUAUAUUUCAGAUUAUCUACCAAUUGUUCAAGUAGACUGCUACUGAAGUGAACAAAAAUGCCACGAGUUUGUGUAACCAGUGCUGGCACAUUUUGCUAUGUGCGUGGACAGGGCACAUUUGCUUCGCAAAAACAGCAAAUAACUCCACUGAUUAAAAAAGCUUACAGCUGUUAUUUUGGGGGCAAAAUAGGUGAUCAGGAUAAACCCUGGAUUCCACAUGUGAUCUCCAACACUUGUGCCAGUAACCUCAGGAAUUGGAUGGAUGGGAAAGGACGCUCAAUGCCCUUUGCAGUGCCCAUGAUCUGGCGAGAGCCAACUAAUCAUGUCAGUGAUUGCUACAUUCGUGUGUUCCUUCUGUCAAGAAGGAAUAUCUAAGAAGAAGAAGCGAACUGUGAUCUGUCCUAACAUUUCAUCUGCCAUAAGUCCAGUUCUACAUGGGGAAUGAUUGCCAAUACCUGAACCACAGACAGGGUACGAGAUUACUUCUGUGGGGGAUUCUAAAUGUCCAGAACCAUGUACAUCACAAUAUAGAGGGUUUUUUCCAAAUAUAACAUCAACUGAUGAUGCACAAAAAUUGUCUCAAAAUGAAUUAAGUGAUCUCAUUAGAGAUUUGGAGCUCUCUAAAGCUAAGGCUGAGAUUGCAGCACCACAAUUUUCUGGCAAGCAAUGUAAAUGUUUCAUUCUAUUCCAAUUGGGCAUGGUGUGCAUAUGAAAGAGUUAUACCAAUACAUGAAAAUUUUACUAGAAGCCAUCAAGUAUAAUGACUCUCAGUGGCACAUUUGCGGUGACUUGAAAUUGGUUGCACUGCUAUUAUGUAUGCAGUUAGGAUAUGCUUAGUAUUGCUGCUCUCUCUGUAAAUCGGAUCGCCGAGCUCGUGCGUCUUUAUUACAGUAAAUAUGAAUGGCCCACCAGAAAAUCUCUUCAACCAGGUAUAAAGAACACUCAGAGUGAACCUCUAGUAGACCCACCCUUACACAUCAAGUUGGGUCUCAUGAAAAACUUUCUCAAGGGAAUGAACAAAGAUGGUAACGCCUUUAAGUACUUAAGGCAAAACUUCCCUUACUUAAGUAAUGCCACAGUAAGGGAGGGCAUCUUUGUAGGCCCACAGAUUCGAGAGCUUUUUGGAGACCAUAUUUUUGAUGGAAUCAUAUAAAAUGAUGAGAGGCAUGUUUAGGAAUGUUUUAAGACAGUCUGUUUACAGUUCUCAGGGAACAAACGAGCAAUAAAUUACAAGAAGGUUGUAGAUAACAUGUUUUCAUCUUAUGAAAAACUUGGUUGCAACAUGUCAUUGAAAAUACAUUUCUUCAUAGUCAUCUUGACUUCUUCCCCAAAGAUUGUGGUGCAGCAAGUGCUGAACACGGGGAGCGAUUUCAUGAAGAUAUUGUCACAUCUGAGAAGAGGUAUGCCGGAAAGUGGAGACCUACUAUUUUAGCAAUUACUGCAGGACUGUCAUAAGGGAAGUUCCGAGUAUGUGCAUAAAUGUCAAGCCAGCGAAAAUGGUCAUCAUCUGAAUUUAUCUCUGAACGAAAUAUGUAACUGUGUGUACUUCACAUAUGGGCAUUUACAAUUUGUAAUCCUUUAUAUGUAUUUGUGACCACUUAAUUUACAUAUUUUCUGUUGUGCUUACAUAGUUCUGGUACAAAGUAGAGUAAUAUCACCUUCAUUUUUUCUUAAUGUUUUACUUUUGUACUUCCAGAAUGGCACUGAAAUUUAUCUAUGCAUAACACAUAACAUAAUUGAAGUAAUUAUUCGCUUAAAAUUUAUUAUGCUGAAUCUUGGAAGAUGAAUGCAUAUUUAGUUAGUGAGUUAUUUAUACAAAAAUUUUGAUUACUUUUUUUAAAAAAACUAGAGCUAAUUAUUUAUGAAGACGGUGAUUUUGUAUUAUUUUUAUACUGAAAAUACUGAAAUAAACAUAACUAACUCGA